rnacentral:lncRNA from 1 species
UUCACUCACUGAGUUUAUACUCAUGUUUUUAAAAUUCAUGUUUUAGGUUUCCUGAGUUAAAGGUGAUUGGAUCCUAGGACGAGGUGCUCCUCCCUGUACAUUGCUUGGUAGGUUUAAUGUGACACUAAGUAUUAUCAAUCGUGCCUAGAGUCACUCCGCUGACGGUCAAGGUCUAAUUAUGUGUAUGUGAAUAUUUAAUGUGAACAUUAAGAAUCAUUGUUAAUCUAUUAAUGAAUAUAUUGGUGGAUGAUGCCAUUAUGAAUGUAUGAUUGGGUUUUAUGAAUCGUUUUCAAAGAAAC